AGUGAACGCUGGCGGCGUGGAUUAGGCAUGCAAGUCGAGCGAUGAUAAGAGAAGCGAGGGCCGCAAGGCUCAAGUGGAUUUUGUCAUAGCGGCAGACGGGUGAGGAACACGUGAGUAACCUGCCCUUAAGUCAGGAAUAGCUUCGUGAAAACGGAGGUAAUACCUGAUAACAUCAUGAGAGCGCAUGUUCUUAUGAUUAAAGACGAGGACCCGCAAGGGCCUAUCGCUUAGGGAUGGACUCGCGUCCUAUCAGCUUGUUGGUAGGGUAAUGGCCUACCAAGGCGUAUGACGGGUAGCUGGUCUGAGAGGAUGGUCAGCCACACUGGGACUGAGACACUGCCCAGACUCCUACGGGAGGCUGCAGUCGAGAAUAUUUAGCAAUGGACGAAAGUCUGACUAUGCGACGCCGCGUGAGGGAUGAAGGUCUUCGGAUUGUAAACCUCUUUGUCAGG
rnacentral:rRNA from 1 species